rnacentral:rRNA from 1 species
GACGAACGCUGGCGGCGUGCUUAACACAUGCAAGUCGAACGGAAAGGCCCUGCUUUUGUGGGGUGCUCGAGUGGCGAACGGGUGAGUAACACGUGAGUAACCUGCCCUUGACUUUGUGAUAACUUCAGGAAACUGGGGCUAAUACCGGAUAGGAGCUCCUGCUGCAUGGUGGGGGUUGGAAAGCUUCGGCGGUUGGGGAUGGACUCGCAGCUUAUCAGCUUGUUGGUGGGGUAGUGGCUUACCAAGGCUUUGACGGGUAGCCGGCCUGAGAGCGGGAACGGCGACAUUGGGACUGAGAGACGGCCCAGACUGCAACGGGCGGCAACAGUGGGGAAUAUUGCACAAUGAGGCGAAGCCUGAUGCAGCAGCGCCGCGUGCGGGAUGACGGCCUUCGGGUUGAAAACCGCUUUCGCCUGUGACAAAGCGUGAGUGACGGUAAUGGGUAAAGAAGCAACGGCUAACUACGUG